rnacentral:rRNA from 1 species
AGCGUUGUUCGGAAUUACUGGGCGUAAAGCGCGCGUAGGCGGUUUUUCAAGUCAGAGGUGAAAGCCCGGGGCUCAACCCCGGAAUAGCCUUUGAAACUGGAGAACUUGAAUCCAGGAGAGGUCAGUGGAAUUCCGAGUGUAG